AGAACGAACGCUGGCGGCAUGCCUAAUACAUGCAAGUCGAACGAAGGCUUCGGCCUUAGUGGCGCACGGGUGCGUAACGCGUGGGAAUCUGCCCCUUGGUUCGGAAUAACAGUUGGAAACGACUGCUAAUACCGGAUGAUGACGAAAGUCCAAAGAUUUAUCGCCAAGGGAUGAGCCCGCGUAGGAUUAGCUAGUUGGUGAGGUAAAGCUCACCAAGGCGACGAUCCUUAGCUGGUCUGAGAGGAUGAUCAGCCACACUGGGACUGAG
rnacentral:rRNA from 1 species